ensembl:lncRNA
GGGGAGUUGUUGGUGUUUCUUUUUGUGUUCUUUGUUGCUGGUAACCUCCCAGAGUGGCGCCAUCCAGAGGCUGAGAACUGGUGGAACACCGAAAGGCAGUGCUGGUGACGAGGAAGAUAGACACCACCUGUGGACUCCGGGGGUAUCUUAGGAUUGGCUCCCCUGUGUCUAUCUGACCAAUCACCAGCAGAGGCCCGCUUUAAAGGCUCUCCCCCCUAAUUUCAUGGGGGCUCGCUCUCUCGCUCAGUGUUGGACAGGGAGAGUUUGUGGAGGGCAGGUGGGGCGAGUCUCCCGCCCAAGUGAGCCAGAUGAGAACGACUUACAAUGGGAUAGAACCAAAACAAGGCAACAGACCUGCAAGAAAACCAGGACCAUGUCAAUCUGGCUAUUUUAGUUCAUAAAAUAGAAUGUUUUAGGAAAAAAAGUCUUAUAUGUUGCAGAGGGAUUACUAAAAGGCCUGAAUUUGAUUGUGACACUGUGUUUGCAGUGCAUGAUGUGAGGGAUAAAGGACGGCUUGUCAAUGGAAAAGGAAACAAAAACCCAUGCCAGGGCUUCCUCCAACAAAACUUUUCACCAAAAUCUAUCCAAACAUCUGUUCUGGGAAAGAAAAGAAUAAUGUGAAUGAACAAAGGCAUGAAAAGGAGAGACUUGCUGCACCCUAGAUGUUUAAUAUUAGAGCAAUGUUUUAACUGUUGUUUAAAGUACCCUUAAUUCACAACACGUUUUCGGUUUUGUAAAUCAUUGACACAUUUUUUUUUCUCAUAAAGAAUAAUAAAGUCAUAACUGUGAUCACUCAGAGGCACCUGAACAAUACCUCAGAGAGAACUGUGUGCAAAUAUAUGGUGUGCAACCCAAUCAGAGCAUGUGAUAUCUGAAAUUGUGAUAACCAGGCCCUAAUAAAAGUCAGCCUCAGAAAAAUAAAUCAGAGUAAAAGGCAGCCGUGCAAAAAAGUUUAUUUUCAUUGGCACAUUGUCAGAUUACAAGGCCCCGAGGAGAAGUCUCAAUAUUAUUGACAUGCUGAUUAAAAUAAACGAUAUUGUCAAAAUUGCCAGUCAUUGUGUAUUACUUAUUGAGUCUUUAUUUCCUCUUAUCUAUGAACAAUCCACUCGAUCUCUUAUGAAUAAAUAAAUACAUUGAUAUGAAUAUGCUUUAUACAUAUAUUGCACAGGGCCGACAUUGGUUGCUUGUAUUGGAUUUUUGUAAUUGCUCUAAUGCUGUUUUCACAACAUUAUGGAAAAAUGUUCAGAAAAAAGUAUUAAUGUGAAUUUGUAGCUCCCUGGCAUUACAUAGCUAAAAAUAUUGAAAUAUUUGUACUUGUAGAUCCAGGACAACAUGAGUACUUUCCAAUAUUAAAUAUCAUCCAAAAACAAGGUAAUAAAUACAUGACAACUUAAAACUAGUCCAAUAUAUGCUGGAUAAGUGCCGCGCCAUCUUGCAUUGAUGGCAUCAUUUCGUGCAUGAGCUCUGGCAUCAGGUUUCCACUCUUUAGACCGCCCACAACCAGAGGCAGCUGCUCGUCUUGAUUUUCCACCUUGUUACAGCGUUGUACACCAUUUUAAAAACUACAAAACAAACUAUUACUCAAAAUGAUAAUAGCAACCAUCACUGAUUUUUAAAUCUCUU